GUAUAGCCUAGUGGACAUGGAAUCUGCCCGGUAAGCGGAACAUUGUGGGUUCGAUUCCCAUUAAUA
rnacentral:tRNA from 1 species